UCCCCAUAAAUUUAGAAAAAUCCCAGAAAUUUCCCAUAGAUCCUAAAAAAUGAUAUAAAUUCGUAGAAAAUCCUAGAAGCCCUAAAAUCUUAGAAAAAAACCAACAAAACCCUUAUAAAAUAGGUAAAACCCUCAUGGAAAUCCCAGAUCUAGAAACUCUAAAGGACUCAAUUUGGUAUUAGAAGCCCUAUAACUCAACUCAGAAAAUCUAACCUAUUUUCAGCAAAACUUUUGGCUAUAUAACUUCUUCAAAUUAGCCUCUCAAGGAAGAGCCUACAAUCAAGGAGAAGGUGUACAAAAGGUGGUUUGAUACAAGCAAUAAACUCCGAGUUUUGGGUUUCUCGAAGAUCCCAAGUUUUUGUGCGCAUAAUGGUUGGGGAUAUACCAAUGCGAAUGUGAGUACCUCUACAAACUUCCUUAGCUCAAAACAACCCACACAUAGUAAGCCCUCGCCUCCGCUAUAUUCUUACAUGAGCACCUAUAUAGACCUAUCCUGACUUCAACUUUUUCACUAGUUAGUGAACCUUGACCUACCCAGUAGUAAAUUAGGUCUGUAAGGACGUGGACUUUGCCGUGCGUGAAGGAAGCCACCGUGCGUGCAAGGGAUGUCACCGUGUGUGUAAGAAGAAGCCACCGUACGUGCAAUGGAUGCCAUUGUGUGUAAAGGAAGCCGCUGUGCGUGUAAGAGAUGCCGACGUACGUGUGAGAGUGAGUACUCGCGGUUUGAGGACGGACAGUGGGGUAUUCACGACUGGCAGUUGAUGACCCAUACUUGAUAAGAAGCUUCCUUUUUGAUUGUAGGCAUUAGAUGGUAGUUGGCCGUAUAGUUGUUUUGUUGUGAAGCUAUGUAUUAUUGUUAUUGGGCUUUUCGUGCCUUGAACAAUUUGUAAUA